rnacentral:rRNA from 1 species
CCCUUAGAUGUUCUGGGCUGCACGCGUGUUACAAUAGGGAGUACAACAAGAUUGCAAAUCCUAGUGGAUGAGUGGUUCUUCGAAAUUUUCUGAAGACUGGGAUAGUUGAUUGAAAUUAUUCAACUCAAACGAGGAAUUCCUUGUAAUUGUAAUUCAUUAUAUUGUAAUGAAUACGUCCCUGCCCUUUGUACACACCGCCCGUCGCUCCUACCGAUUGAACGAUCCGGUGAAUUAUUUGGAGUAGCUCUGGAAGUUGCAGAACUUCCUAUGUCACGAAAUUUUGUAAACCUUAUCGUUUAGAGGAAGGAAAAGUCGUAACA